rnacentral:lncRNA from 1 species
UGUUAAUUGAGAUUGUCUAAAUAAUGUUAGGUUGUACUUACUGUCAAGAGUUAAAACAAGGGCUGGGGUUGUGGCUCAGCAGUGGAGCGCUUGCCUAGCACAUUCAAGGUACUGGGUUCAAUCCUCAGCACCACAUAAAAAAUAAAUAGGUAUUUUAGAAAGUUAAAACAAAAUGAAAUCUAUGUCCCUACAAAUUUCAAAUAGAUAUAUUUACUGGGUAUGAUGGCACACGGUGGGAUGAUCAUUAGAGCCCAACUUGAGCAAUACCUUGAGACCCAGUAUCAAAAACAAACAAGAACUAUCCCAGUUUUAGCACUUACAGUCUCAAAUCCUGGUGAUCCUGCUUAAUCCUAGAAAACUGGAACUACCAGUUUCCUUAAUCCUGGUGGUGUUUUUUGGAGCUGGCUACAAAAGCAGAAGAACUUCUUAUAUUUCAAAAUCCAUCAACAGUAGAAUUGAGAAGCUCCCACCUAACCUUUCAUUGGAAGUGAAUAACCUACAACAUAGUCACAUGAUUCUGCUUUGUGUGUAGGGAAUAAAUACAGGAGCAUUCCACCACUCAGCUACAUUUCCAGACCUUUUUAUUUUCUUGAGCCAGGAUCUUGCUAAGUUGCUGAGGCUAGCCUUGAACUUGAGAUCCUCCUGCCUCAACUUCCCAAGUCACUGGAAUUACAGGUAUGCACCACUCUGCCUGGCUUGUAAUGACAUGCUAAAAGGUAAAUAUUAAGAGAAGAACCUAAUAGAAUUCUAUAAAAUAGAUGCUGU